rnacentral:rRNA from 1 species
UGGGGAAUUUUGGACAAUGGGGGAAACCCUGAUCCAGCAAUGCCGCGUGUGUGAAGAAGGCCUUCGGGUUGUAAAGCCCUUUCGGCGGGGAAGAUAAUGACGGUACCCGCAGAAGAAGCCCCGGCUAACUUCGUGCCAGCAGCCGCGGUAAUACGAAGGGGGCUAGCGUUGCUCGGAAUCACUGGGCGUAAAGCGCACGUAGGCGGGUCCUUAAGUCAGGGGUGAAAUCCUGGAGCUCAACUCCAGAACUGCCUUUGAUACUGAGGAUCUCGAGUUCGGGAGAGGUGAGUGGAACUGCGAGUGUAGAGGUGAAAUUCGUAGAUAUUCGCAAGAACACCAGUGGCGAAGGCGGCUCACUGGCCCGAUACUGACGCUGAGGUGCGAAAGCGUGGGGAGCAAACAGGAUUAGAUACCCCGGUAGUCC